ACAGCUCAAAUUUGAAAUCUGGCUUUCGGGCCCGAGUUGUAAUUUGUAGAGGAUACUUUUGAUGCGGUGCCUUCCGAGUUCCCUGGAACGGGACGCCAUAGAGGGUGAGAGCCCCGUCUGGUUGGAUGCCAAAUCUCUGUAAAGUUCCUUCGACGAGUCGAGUAGUUUGGGAAUGCUGCUCUAAAUGGGAGGUAUAUGUCUUCUAAAGCUAAAUAUUGGCCAGAGACCGAUAGCGCACAA
rnacentral:rRNA from 1 species